AGUUUGAUUCUGGCUCAGAUUGAACGCUUCGGCGGGAUGCUUUACACAUGCAGCCGAACGCGGCAGCACGGACUUCGGUCUGGUGGCGAGUGGCGAACGGGUGAGUAAUGUCGGGAACUGUGCCUAGUAGCGGGGGAUAACUACGCGAAAGCGUAGCUGCAAUACCGCAUGGUCACGCCCUGGGGAAAGCGGGGACCUCUACCCGCACCAGAGCGGCCGGGGAUACUUGAUUGCUAGUUGGUGGGGUAACGGCUCACUACACGAUCCGUAGCUGGUUUGAGAGGACGACCCAGCCACAUUCGGGACUGGAGACAUUGCCCAGACUCCUACGGGAGGCAGCAGGGGGGAAUUUUGGACAAUGGGGAAACCCGAUCCAGCCAUCCCCGCGUGUGCGAUGAAGGCCUUCGGGUUGUAAAGCACUUUUUGGCAGGAAAGAAACGGCGCCGAUAUCACUCCCGUGCAACUGACGGUACCUGUGAAUAAGCAACCGCCAAUCCAUGUGCCAGCAGCCGCGGUAAUACGUAGGGUGCAAGCGUUAAUCGGAAUUACUGGGCGUAAAGCGUGCGCAGGCGUUCGGAAAGAAAGACGGAAACUUCAGAGCUUAACUUUUGGAACUGCAUUUAACUACCGAGCUAGAGUGUGUCAGGGAGGAGGAAAUCCUAGUGGCGGAAAUGCGUAGAUAUGCGGAGGAACACCGAUGGCGAAGGCAGCUCUCCUGGGAUAACACUGACGCUCAUGCACGAAAGCGUGGGGAGCAAAACAGGAUUAGAUACUCCCGUAGUCCAAUACGCCCCAAACGAUGUCAACUAGCUGUUGGGGCCUCGGUCUUUGUGGCGCAGCACCGGCAGAAGUUGACCGCCUGGGGAGUACGGGUUUAUCAAAACUCAAAGGAAUUGACGGGGCACCGCACAAGCGGUGACAUGGGAUUAAUUCGAUGCAACGCGAAAAACCUUAAUUGCCCCUUGACAUGUCUGGAAUCCCGAAGAGAUUUGGGAGUGCUCUUUAAGAGGACCGGAACACAGGUGCUGCAUGGCUGUCGUCAGCUCGUGUCGAGAUGUUGGGUUAAGUCCCGCAAUUUGAGCGCAACCCUUGUCAUUAGUUGCUACGAAAGGCAUCAAUGAGACUGCCGGUGACAAACCGAGGAAGGUGGAUGACGUCAAGUCCUCAUGUAUCUUAUGGGUAGGGCUUCGCUGACGUCAUACAAUGGUCGGGACAGGGUCGCCAACCCGCGAGGGGAGCCAAUCCCAGAAACCCGAUCGUGGUCCGGAUCGCAGUUUGCAACUCGACUGCGUGAAGUCGGAAUCGCUAGUAAUCGCGGAUCAGCAUGUCGCGGCGAAUACGUUCCGGGUCUUGUACACACCGCCCGUCACACCAUGUGGAGUGGGUUUCACCAGAAGUAGUUAGCCUAACCGUAAGGAGGGCGAUUACCACGGUAGGAUUCUACGGACUGGGGUGAAGUCGUAACAAGGUAA
rnacentral:rRNA from 1 species